rnacentral:lncRNA from 1 species
GUUACAACGGGGAUUUUAAAGAGGGAACCAGAAGUAAACAGACAGUUCCAUCAGGUAUAUUAUAGUUGUGCUAUGUGAUCCUAUUGUGAUUACGUUAAGUGCUGUCGUGUGUUGAGAUAACGUCUUUCGUCGGGUAUAGCAAAAGUCUUUUUUAUUUUUUUUUUCGGCAGAAUUAGAAAUCCACCCGGAAUAAUGGAGCUUUCCAACAUUUAAUGAAUUUUCUACAUUUAGUUUUAUAUAUAUAUAUAUUACACAAGUUACUAAAAUUGUAAGUGCAAAAAAAUAUGUUUAAAAUUUUAAAGAACACGUGAGCUUAACGUAAUAUAUAUACUCUUACCAUUGAUGGUACGAAUAUUUACGAUAAAUCUCGAAUGCCAUCAAUAAGAAUGGCACUGGAUAUUCAAAAUGCUUUGUCAUCCCGUGUCACGUAAGACUGAUUACUCCAUGAUACAGGUAGGCUUUUAUUGUACACAAAAUUAUACACCUGUAACAUUAAUUCAUCCAUCUAUUAUUUAUAUGUUGUAUGUUUUCGAUAAUUCUUUUGUUAAUUCGUGGACUUAAAUAUUUUAUUGCCAUCAGAAAUUGGCAAACAUAAAAUGAAAAAUCGGUUAAUGGAGCGACGCAUUUCUAAUAUUGGCUUUUGAAAAUUUAAUAAUGUAUCGAUAAAUAUAUAAUUUAGAAAAGUAGUUAAGAUUUUUUUUUAACGUAUUUUGUUUAUUUUUGAACAUUCAGCGUGUACAUUUUGUUAAUUUUACAUUCGUUAAACGAGUUAUACAAAUAUUCACAAACAUUCUAAGUGCAUUUUCGGAUUAUCUUUUUUGUUUAAUUAUUGGUGUUAAUAUGUGUGUAUCGUUCGAAUGUGGAAUCUGGUGCAGUUAUAUUUACUUUCAGUAGGAGAGAGAGGUGAUAUGUAGACCUUCUAUCGAAGUUCAAGGCCAAGAGUCUCCACUCAUCAGCUCCUGGAUUACCGAUUCUAGUAAGCUACCGAAUAGAUUCCGAGCAGAAAAAUAUCUAUCAAAAAAAUGUUUGUGUGUAUUCAUGAUAGCCGCCCUUCUAAUAAUAUUCAUUAAUUAGAAUAAUUUUAAUGGUAAUAAUUUCAAAUUAAUUUUAACAUAUUCUAUAUAAUUUUCAAAAUCGAAUUUGUCUUGGUAAAUUUUUUUUUAAUAUUAAAGAAAAGGCAAUAGUUUUUUUUUCCAUUUAUAAAUAAUUUAAAAAUCACUUAAAAGUGUGAAAAAUAUGUUUGUAUGGAUUUUUUUUUUCUGAUGGUGGGAACGGAGUCGGCGGUGGACGUAGGUGUGUUUACAUUCAACAUCUAUCAACAUAUUGGCCGUUGUUACCGGUUGAUGGUAGAGAUGGCUUUAAUAGUCUCUCUCUAUGGUCCUCGGUACAUGUCAGGCUAGGAAAUAUUCAGGCAGCAGAAGGUACACAACAAACGUGACACAUUCUUAUUUAUUAUUAAGUGCUGCUGUGCCAACUGUUGCGAAGAGUUCUCCCAUCAUAGCCUCCGGGAGGAAAACGACACUUACUUCCUCUCUUUUUCCACUACCUUUACUUCCUGAUCUCCGUGUCCUUUUCUUAGCCGGGCUUUAUGUCCGAGAACCCAUCGCCGCUCAUUAUGACAGGAAAAAACAUUUUCUUACUUCUCUUUCUUGUAACAUCGGCUCGAUCUGACGGAUAAAUGACUCUAGAUCCUCAAAUUAUUCCGAUAUAAGCCGAUCAUUCGAUGACUAUAGAAGAGGACGUUUCGCCCACUCUCCAUUUCUUAUUCGAUCCAAAUUCGGAAACGUUAGCGAUAGAAUUAUCUUAUUUAAAAACGAAAGUUUAGUCUGCAUUAAAAAAAUUCUCGCGCAUUUUCUCCAUAAAAUCGCGACUUAAACCCCUUUAAUAGCGCUGAAACGGUUAAUUUAAUGCAAAGAAAAGAUACAUUAAAAAGAUAAUCCCUUUACCCGGUCAAAGGGGAGAGACCACAGUACAUAAAAAGUCGACAGGUUGUUAAUGUUGGCAACAACCUGUCUAUCGUAUUUCGGUUAUUGAAAGCGCGCAGGUAACUUUUCACCGGAGAAAAAGAGGGGAGUGGAUUAAACGGUGUCGCACUCGAUUAGCCUAUCGUCCCCUGUGAGGAGAGGGCCCCGCGAGGUAGAGGCACGCGACCGUGUUGUACACGUGUAGCGAUACACGAGGGGAUCAGGGGAUAGAAGGGGGUGUUUCUCUCCAUUAACGUCAGAGUGACAAAUCCAUUGCGGUGCGCUCCGUGACCCCCGAAUAUGUUCCCUUAAUACAUUAAAUCGAAAGGAUUGCAAAUUUGCUUUGUAAACUCCUCCCUCGAUAACACUUCCAUUCAAAUGGUUCUCCUCUUUUCUCCCUCCUAUCGGAAGUCUCUUCCAAUUUUUUUUUUUUUUUUUCAUUACCCCAACGACGGCUGUACUAAAGGCAGAUUAUCUAAAAUAAAUAUUCCUUCCACUCGGCCGGAGAUUGAUCGAUGGUUAGCCUCAAUUAUACACGGGAAGAGAGGAAAAUGAUGCGAAAUGGCACAGAAUGAAACUUUUUAAUGAUUUGUUCCAUGAAAGAACUCUUUUCUCUCCCUUCGGAUCUGUUUUCAUUGUCAGAAUCGAACUAUUGCCCGGUCUACUAUUGUGAUUAUCUUCCGACUGUUGUCCCAAAUUAAGGAAACACCUCGCUAUUCAAUACGUAUCUAAAUAAUUAAAACCGAUUCCCUCAGGAAAGUAAAAAAACAAAAAGCCAUUAGUAACUCUUAGAAUAUAUUUCGUUAACUUAUAUUUAUCGGAGUUUAGAAAUCUUUCUCUAAUUUUUU